CCUACGGGUGGCAGCAGUGAGGAAUAUUGGUCAAUGGACGAGAGUCUGAACCAGCCAAGUAGCGUGAAGGAUGACUGCCCUAUGGGUUGUAAACUUCUUUUAUAUGGGAAUAAAAUGUUCCACGUGUGGGAUUUUGUAUGUACCAUAUGAAUAAGAGUCGGCUAACUCCGUGCCAGCCGCCGCGGUAAUACGGAGGAUCCGAACAGUAUCCGGAUUUAUUGGUUUUAAAGGGAGCGUAGGGGGCUUGUUAAGUCAGUUGUGAAAGUUUGCGGCUCAACCGUAAAAUUGAAGUUGAACAUGGCAGUCUUGAGUACAGUAGAGGUGGGCGGAAGUCGUGGUGUAGCGGUGAAAUGCUUAGAUAUCACGAAGAACUCCGAUUGCGAAGGCAGUUCACUGGACUGCAACUGACACUGAGGCUCGAAAGUGUGGGUAUCAAACAGGAUUAGAUACCCUGGUAGUC
rnacentral:rRNA from 1 species